UCUACUUUCCCAAAAUGCCCUCCCACCGCUCCACUCGCUCCCUGUCUCGCUCCACUUGCACCACUCCUCUCGUCUGCCUCUCCUCACGCCCGCCACUCCCAGAUCCCCUCCUCUCGCCCGCCUCUCCUCUCCUCCCAUCGCCGGUCUCUCCUUUCCUCCCAACAACGCCGGACUCUCCUUCUCCUUGUCGUCGCCAGCUUCCUCCCACGGUGUGACCCCGUUUUCUCCCACGGCGAGCGCCAGAAAUCCAACACGCCGAGGUCAAAAGACUACCUUUUUAGCGCCGGCGGCGAGCUUCUGGGCGGCGGAGGCGCUGGGUCCGCGUGCGCUAGCGCUGGAUCCGCGCGCGUCGAUGAUGGAUCCGCGUGCCCCGACGCCAGUGACGAAGUCACGCUGGAUGUGGAGCAGCGUCGCGGCGGCGGAGCAGUGGCGGAGCAACGGAGCGGUGGAGCGGCGGGGCGACAGUGGAGCGCCUACUCAUGAGCUGAACCUCAAGACAAUUGGAUUUAUCGCCGGGCUAGUGCUAUGCUUGAAGUCACUGGUCAUCGCUUCAUGGAGUCAUGGGCGACGGGGCCCUCUAGAGUUCACGCAGAGUUAUCUCAGAUGUCUGUUGUUUUGACAGGGAUAUUCAGUGUUUAUUCAGCCACACUCGGUGUCUUGUGUUUGAUCUCUUUGCAAUGCAGUAACGGCACGACACCCUGAAUCACCCACAUCCUGGGAGGACACCUGACACAAGGUAGUUAGAAUUCCUUGUUCUGUUUAAAAUAAGGCAUGUGGUCGGGGUAUGUUGCUUAGAGUAAUUUUGAACAAGAUUUAACUUGUCAUUUUUGCUUGAAGUAAUUUUGCUUGGAGUAUUUUUCAGCAGGUAUUAUGAACAUGCAAGUAUUCUGAACAUGAAACUGUUCCUUUAA